rnacentral:rRNA from 1 species
AUUGAACGCUGGCGGCAUGCUUUACACAUGCAAGUCGAACGGCAGCACGGGGGCAACCCUGGUGGCGAGUGGCGAACGGGUGAGUAAUGCAUCGGAACGUGCCCCGUCGUGGGGGAUCACACAUCGAAAGAUGUGCUAAUACCGCAUACGACCUGAGGGUGAAAGCGGGGGACCGCAAGGCCUCGCGCGAUGGGAGCGGCCGAUGUCUGAUUAGCUAGUUGGUGGGGUAAAGGCCUACCAAGGCGACGAGCAGUAGCUGGUCUGAGAGGACGACCAGCCACACUGGGACUGAGACACGGCCCAGACUCCUACGGGAGGCAGCAGUGGGGAAUUUUGGACAAUGGGGGCAACCCUGAUCCAGCCAUGCCGCGUGCGGGAAGAAGGCCUUCGGGUUGUAAACCGCUUUUGGCAGGAACGAAACGGUGCGGGCGAAUACCCUGUGCUAAUGACGGUACCUGCAGAAUAAGCACCGGCUAACUACGUGCCAGCAGCCGCCGUAAAAC